rnacentral:misc_RNA from 1 species
GAAAUGCGAUAAGUAGUGUGAAUUGCAGAAUUCAGUGAAUCAUCGAAUCUUUGAACGCACAUUGCGCCCUUUGGUAUUCCUUAGGGCAUGCCUGUUCGAGCGUCAUCUAAACCUUCAAGCCCUGCUUGGUGUUGGGUGCCUGUCCCGCCUCCGCGCGCGGACUCACCUCAAAUCCAUUGGCGGCCCCCGCGUCGGCCACGAGCGCAGCAGAAACGCGAACUCGUGAGCCCGUCCGGGCGGCUCCCAGAAGCUACACCCACCCAGUUUGACCUCGGAUCAGGUAGUGAUACCCGCUGAACUUCAGC